GUUUUUGGUACUUUGAAAAUUCUUGGAGGGAAUAUGAACUCUUUAACUUGCACUAUGGGUGAGGUGGGUGAGGUCAUUGUUGUUUCUGCAGGUCCUUAGUUAAGAGUUUUGCAAUAGAAACAACGUAGCAAAAGAGGAUUCAGUGUUGUGCGUAGCAAAUGGUCGGUUAUUGUUUAUUAUGGUGUUGCAAAAUGAAGACGUACAUGUUCUCAUGGGAACAUCUUACACCAACUCAGUUGCCAAUACUUUCUCAUUUGCAAGAUCUUUGGGAUUUGGUCGGUAUUAAUUAAUUUUCUUCUCCAUAGUUUCCUUAAUAGCUUAGUUACGUUAGUCAAAUCUCAAAGGCUUGGUUUGUGUGGCACAUAUUUGUUUUAAUCGAAUUGAGCUCUAGGUAGCUUGUGUCUUUUGCAUGGCCAUUUGAGCUAUACAAAGUUCAUGUCUGCACUAGAAAUGGCAUAUUAAAAGAAAUUUAUUUCCUUCAUGUUUUUAUGUUGCACAAGAGAAGUAAGCAUGUGGUUUCUAUGUUGGAUUGAUAGGAUGUAUACAUG
rnacentral:misc_RNA from 1 species